UACGAAGGGGGCUAGCGUUGCUCGGAAUCACUGGGCGUAAAGCGCACGUAGGCGGCUUCUUAAGUCAGGGGUGAAAUCCUGGAGCUCAACUCCAGAACUGCCUUUGAUACUGAAGAUCUUGAGUCCGGGAGAGGUGAGUGGAACUGCGAGUGUAGAGGUGAAAUUCGUAGAGUAUUCGCAAGAACACCAGUGGCGAAGGCGGCUCACUGGCCCGGUACUGACGCUGAGGCACGAAAGCGUGGGGAGCAAACAGGG
rnacentral:rRNA from 1 species